rnacentral:rRNA from 1 species
CCUACGGGUGGCAGCAGUGAGGAAUAUUGGUCAAUGGGCGUAAGCCUGAACCAGCCAAGUAGCGUGCAGGAUGACGGCCCUACGGGUUGUACACUGCUUUUAUACGGGAAUAACGCGCCUUACGUGUAGGGCUUUCCAUAUACCGUAUGCAUAAAGACUGGCUAAUUCCGUGCCAGCCGCCCGCGUAAUUCGGAAGGUCCCGGCGUUUUCCGGAUUUAUUGGGGGUAAAGGGAGCGUAGGCCGCAUUGCAAAGGUGGUGGGAAAGUUCCGGGCGCAACCCGGGCCUUGCAGCGCGAACUGGCGUGCUUGAGUGCGCGGAAAGCAGGCGGAAUUCGUCGUGUAGCGGUGAAAUGCUUAGAUAUGACGAAGAACCCCGAUUGCGAAGGCAGCUUGCUGCAGCGGAACUGACGCUGAUGCUCGAAAGCGCGGGUAUCGAACAGGAUUAGAUACCCCGGUAGUC